rnacentral:rRNA from 1 species
AGAGUUUGAUCCUGGCUCAGAUUGAACGCUGGCGGCGUGCUUAACACAUGCAAGUCGUGCGAGAAAGGGGACUUCGGUCCCUGAGUAGAGCGGCGCACGGGUGAGUAACGCGUGGAUAAUCUCCCCAGAAGUUCGGGAUAACGGCGGGAAACUGCCGCUAAUACCGGAUACGCUCCAAUUUCGGUUGGGGGAAAGGCGGCCUCUGUUUACAAGCUGUCGCUUCUGGAUGAGUCCGCGUCCCAUUAGCUUGUUGGUGGGGUAAUGGCCUACCAAGGCUACGAUGGGUAGCUGGUCUGAGAGGAUGAUCAGCCACACUGGAACUGAAACACGGUCCAGACUCCUACGGGAGGCAGCAGUGGGGAAUAUUGCGCGAUGGGGGAAACCCUGACGCAGCGACGCCGUGUGAGGGAUGAAGGCUUUCGGG